rnacentral:lncRNA from 1 species
AUGAAGCUGCCCAUCUAGUGGCCCAUCUGCCAUCAUACGGUGAAAAGUGGUCGGUGGUAGAAGAAUAUUAAGCAGUGUGAUGGAGGCAGCAAAAUGUGUGGAACCGUCAUUAUGAAGAAGGCAAUGCUCUCCUGCACCAGGGAGCUCUUCACCCCACAACUACAGAGCUCCUGUCUUCCAAGGUUCCCGAACUGUUCUGGGAAGUGCUCCUAAUCACCUGAGGUUUACAUACAAACAACCCCAGGACAUUUCAUUUAGCUACCAAUGUCAUGAUUACCAAAAAUUAAUUAACAAUAUGGUGGUCGUCAUCACAUCUGAGUCACCAAAUCAAAAUUCAGGACACAUUUCCAUGCAAAGUGCAGCCUUCUUCUUACGUUUCAUAAUUGUCAUUUCAAAUGAGAUCUUGGUUGGAAACAAUUGCUUAACUGUUUCAAGGUAUACUGGGUUAUCACUAACUCAUUUCUGUAAAGCAGAAUACAAGACCUCAACCUGUUAGAGAUCCUUUGUUGAUUAACAAGCUGAUUAAUAAGCUGAUUGUUCUCCUGAUUUAAGGCCUAUACCAAAAUUCUUGAAGCUCAAUUUGCACCACAGAGUACGCCAAUAUGUUUGAGUGAACUGGCUCUGGCUCUCCGAAGCUGUUUUGUAAAGACAAGAGACUAUAAGCCAUGGUGAGUAGUUAUACAUGAAGAACCUCAAUUAAUGCCUUACAUAUGGCAUGAGGAGACUAGAAAUUUUCUUGUUAAUGGGGCAGGGGUAUAAUAAUAAAUAUCUUGGCAAAUGAGAAGGGUCAAACUGUUUAUGGUUAAGAACACAAAUUUUGAGCCAAAAUACAUGGAUUUGAAUCCCUGCUAUACCCCAUUAUUAGCUAUGUGACUUCAGGCAAGUUAUUUAAGGUUGCUGUGCCACAUUUCCAUCCACCUGUAAAAUGGGGAUAAUAUUUAUAGAAGUUAAAAACUAGCUAGCACUUGUUAAAGUGUUAUCUAACACAUUUAUGAAGAAAUCAGCAGAAAGAUAAAGUAGCUGGAAAGGAAGAUUUAAGUCGAAUUGCAAAUUGCAUGUAGUGUUCACUAGGUUAACUUUCAACAGAGCUAUAAAACCAUAUCACCUUUAGAGUUAAUAUAUCUCCAUGGCUAUCAAAUUAUAAAAACUCUUUAAUUUCUGCACGUCAAUCUCUUGACCUCAAAGGACCAUAAACCAUCCACACACUUUUCAGUUGUUGAUUGUUAGCCAAGCAAAGUUACAUUCUCAGCAUGUGUCAGAUGAUGCUCAAAUGGGCUUAUUGGAAAAUGACCUAGCAUGACAUUUUAAAAAUCAAGCAAUAAUCAUUUAUCUCAUCUCUAAAUUUAGGAUAAAUAUUUUUAGUAGCCUUGCCAUGAUUUUCAUGCCAAUUUAUAUUUGUAAAGCACUUUGAAAAGUGUCUGGCACAAGGUUAAGUAAAAUACUCAGUAAUUAGGCAGUAGUAAAAAGAUAUGGCCUAUAGAAUCUGUACUAUUUUAAAAGAGCUUACGUCAUUUGUCUGAAAUAAUUUUUAAGGAUGCCACAGGAAUGGUUUGGUUGUAGACCCCACUCCAUAAAUCAAGUUUCCCUGAGGGAAAAAAUUAAGCAACAGAAUAGAAGACAGAAAUAGAGAAAAGAACUACUCAAAACGAAUUUGAAUGCCGUAAUAGGAUAAUCAUUUAUAUUUGGAGACAAAAAUGCUAAGAGUUAUAUUAGAAUAUUCCAGAGAGACAGAACCAGUAGGAUAGAUGAUAGAGAGAUAGACAGAUAGAUAGAUAGAUAGAUAGAUAGAUAGAUAGAUAGAUAGAUAGACAGACAGACAGACAGAUAGAUGAUGCAUAGAUAGAUAAAUGAUAGAUGACGGAUGGAUGGGUAGGUAGAUAGACAGACAGACAGAUGAGAGGGGAUUUAUCUGGGGAGUUGACUCAUGUGAUUGAUUAUGGAGGCUGAGAACCCCACAAUAGGACAUCUGUAAGCUGGAGACUUGGGAUGCUGGUUGCAUGGCUCAGUCUAAGUUCAAAAGCAUCAGAACCAGGGAAGCCAAUGACAUAACUCUCAAUCUGAGGCUAAAGGCCCAAAAACCCAAGGAGAUACUGGUAUAAGUAUCAGAGUCCAAAAGCCAGAGAACCUUGUGUGCUGAUGUCCAAGAACAGGAGAGGAAGGGUGCUGUAGCUCCAGGAGAGAGAGAGUAAAUUUUCUUAGGUGGUGCAAAAGUAAUUGUGGUUCUUGCCAUUGAAAUUAAUAGCAAAAACUGCAAUUACUUUUGCACCAACCUAAUGCUUUCCUCUUGCUUUUUGUUCUAUCCAGGUUCCCAGUCAAUUGUCCACCUACACUGAGGUCAGAUCUUCCCCAUUCAGUCUACCGACUCACACAUCAAUCUUCUCUGGAAAACAUCCUCACAGAAACAUCCAGAAACAAUACUUUACCAGUUGUCUAGGUAUACCUUAAUCCAGUCAAGCUGACAUCUCAAAUUAGCCACCACAAAUACAUUUUUUUUCCAAAAUAUCUAGGCACUACUAGAUAAGCAUAUUUUUAAAAUGUUUUCUUCCCACUGUGUAAACUUAGAAAAUAAUAGAGAGAUUUACAAAGCUAUGCUAUAUUCACGAUCCAUUAAAAUAAUAUAUAUUUUAUGAGAGAGACUUUUGCUGCUACCAACAUUCCAAAACCCUCUUUACCUCAAACAAUGUUAAAGAUGGUAUUUGUUUAAUAUUGGAAAAGGAUUAUGCCACAACCACUUAAUCAAAAUCUUGUUUAGUGUCAGUAUCUAUUCAAUUUUGCAUGUCCCAGCUUGAUGGAAACUAACUACCUCACAGCACUCCAUAAAUAUUUAUAUCGUAAUCCAUUAUUGAUAUCUUACAAACAUUUUACUAUAGCUUGCUAAUGGCUGCAACAUGACAGUUCUGGAUGGAACUGAACAAUUAUUUUAAUUUUAUUUCCAUAGGAGAUGCUUUGCACAUGUAAAAACAAAAAUGCCAGUUUAAUUGGGGUACUUACUACCAACACAAAACAAAAGCAUAGUAUCUAAAAUCAAGUCCUGAAAAUGAAUGAAAAAAUGUUUUCAAGAAUUUUUUAACACGAAAAUUACAAUUCCCUAUUAUGUUAAAAUCUCUCACACUUGUAUUACAACCUAUCAUACUCAGAUAAUUUAUUUAAAUCUCAAAGUAUCACUAUAAUAUAGGAAAUAUUUCAAUGUUCCCACUUUCCAAAUGAAGAAAAUGAGCAGUACAGAAAACUUUAAUGACUUACGCAAAGGCACACAGCUAUCUGGGACUAAAAUAAGAGCUUUUGCCUCUUAUGCUCAUGACACCAAUAACUUAGCCUCUUGCCACAAGUGUAUCCUCCUUUAUAUAUAUUUCUUACCUUACACAUAUGCUAAAAGCUUCACCUGUAUGACAUAUAUAAAAUUAUUCUUGUACACCUCCUAAAUGAAGGUAUACAAGCCAUCCUAAUAUGUACCUAGUGUGUGAGUUUAUUUCAGUCUUUACUCAUCUGUUUUCUGUUUUAGACUGUCAGUUCACUGAACCAGAGUUAGUAUUUUUGAAAAGCAGGAUAGGUAGUUUUCAGCAUCAGAUGGAUAAAGAUGAGGUCAAGUCAAAAAGAGCAGCAUGUGUGCAGAACGUGAGAGCAACAGAGGAAACAGACCUGUAGGUGUUCAGAUUCUAAAUCUGCCAUUUACUCGUCGUGUGAUAGUCAAUAACUUAUUUUCCUGAAGCAUCAGUAUUAAAUGAGGUAAUGUAAUAUAAGUGCUUAGCACAAGCAUAACACAGAGUAAAUUUUCAGUUAAUUAAAUGAUAAUUGAUGCUUUUACACACAAAAAAAACCACUUAUUGUAUUUAGAGUUUAUAACAAAGAGAGCUAUUUAUUAUCUGUUCAAGGAAAGAAGAUUUAUGUAUUAUUAUUCCUAUUAAAGAUUAUACCAUCUCAUGUAUUGUGAAAGCUGACCAGUAGUGGUGAAAAGUCUUCCCAUAUGUAUAAUCCUUUAUAAAACAUAUUUAUUUCCAUUUUUCAUUUGAGCCACUGAAAAGUUCUGUGAAUUUAGUUUAUUUUUUAUCAUCAUCAUCAUCAUCAUUUCCAUACUUAAAUUGAGCAGACUGAGUUUAGAAGAGGUAAAGUAAUAGGCUCAAAUUCUUUCACCCAAUCUCUACACCAAAUCAGUUGCCAGCAUGUUUCUCAUUUUCUGAAUUUUUGAUAGUGCUGGAUGUAAAACCUGACAUGAGUUGUAUAGCAACAAAUAACCACAAUAAAAUCAUCAGCCAGGUUUCUUUUAAGCUCCCACAAUCCCAUCAUGUUCAUUAAUUUUUAACAUAAUUCACUUUAAACAGAAUUUUCUAAUGGGUAAGAAAGAGUUAGGAGGGUAUUCACCAAGACAUCUUUUGUCAGCCUAUGGCAAACCAGUUUAAUUUAUUCUUUGGUCAACCUCAGUGCCACGUUUUCAGUUAUUUUUUAAGACUACCACAACGGACUUGUAGACAUGUGUUUGAAAAAAUGUGAUUCUCAAUUCACAAUAGCAUAAUGAAGAGGUAAUAGUACUGAAAAGAAAUCAGAAGCAUUCCCUUUAGCCAGUUAUCAAGAUGCAAUAUAGAAAUAUGAUUAUGGGCCGGGCGCGG